rnacentral:rRNA from 1 species
AAUAGGGAUUGGCUUAGUGCACCACAUGUGUUUUUCUUUGAAACAAACUUGCUUUGGCGGUGGGCCCAGCCUGCCGCCAGAGGUCUAAACUUACAACCAAUUUUUUAUCAACUUGUCACACCAGAUUAUUACUAAUAGUCAAAACUUUCAACAACGGAUCUCUUGGUUCUCGCAUCGAUGAAGAACGCAGCGAAAUGCGAUACGUAAUAUGAAUUGCAGAUAUUCGUGAAUCAUCGAAUCUUUGAACGCACAUUGCGCCCUCUGGUAUUCCGGAGGGCAUGCCUGUUUGAGCGUCGUUUCUCCCUCAAACCGCUGGGUUUGGUGUUGAGCAAUACGACUUGGGUUUGCUUGAAAGACGGUAGUGGUAAGGCAUCUAUCCCUUUGACAAUGGCUUAUGACUAACCAAAAAGAUUGCGGGCGGGAGGUCCAUCCACCAUAUAUAUAAACAAUCUCAGCAAACAAAUCAGGACAGACUACCCGCUGAAGCUAAUCUAAACAAUAAAGGGAAAGCAUAAUGU